UUUCAUUAAUUUAUGGUCUUUCUAAGGUAGUAGAAGAGUCUCUAUAACCUAGAAGGUAAAAUUACUAACUAAGCUCCAACCUACUAAUUAUUAAGAUAAGAAAAUAACCUAAGAGGCUUUUAUAAAAGCCAUGUUUAGAUACUUCAAAUUAUAAUUAAACUAAGAUAAUUAGAUAUUAAUUAGAAAUUUAAUUUUGAUUAUAAUUUUACUUUAUAGUCGUAUUACAUCAUGACAUCCACCCCCUCUUAACCUACGCAUCCUCUGGCAUGCGCCAAAUAAACCAUAUGUCAUAAUUAGCAUCACACCAUUUUUUCAUUUUCUUCAUCAAAUCCUUCAUUUCUAUUUCACCAUCCUCUUCAAAACAAUUGUCAUCUUCAAAAAUGCCAAUAUCUUCAAUAUGAUCUUCCAUAUUGAUUUCUCUAUCUCGUCUUUUAGAAAUCUUCACUCACUUUCUAAUAAUAGGUAUUUUCAACCUCAUACCAUCUAACUUCUUUAAUGAAUAUGUGGCAUUAUUAUGAACCGUUACUACCACAUAUGAUAAUGCCACAUGUUAUAAGCACAAAGUCUGGCCCUGUGUGUGAUAGUCAUGAGACAUCUACGGUGUUGUGUUGUUAUAUGACUACAAAUUCGUGCAUAAGCUAAACCAUCAUCAAGUAUCUUUGUUUCUAUCCGAGUUGUAAUAAUAUAUGGUUGUUCUCAAAUAAGACGAUAAGAUGUUGCAUCUUGAACAAAAAAAUUCUACUCUAUUGCAACAUCACCAAUCUGAAUUUUUAUAUCCGGACAAGCACCAUAUAACUCCCCACGUGUAUUAUUGGCUACCCGUAUUGCCCACCCAUGCUCCAUGUCAAUUAGACACCUUUGCUUCAUAUAAAUAUCUUUAGACAUAAGAUUUAUCUUUGAACCAUGGUCAAUCAAAAUAACAACCAGUUCAUCUAUAUCUCUAAUCUUCACUAAUGCCUCUGUAGUUGUUCUAGUCAAAUGCUUUCGAGUAUAAUGACUUGAAACCUCUCUAUCUUUAUUAUCUUAAUCAACAAAACGUAUCUUUUGAUUAUGACUCCUUCCUUCACUUGUUGUUUGUUUGUAACAAUUAUUGAAUACAUCUUCUUCACCUUCAUAUAUGUGUGUAUCAAUAACAUGAUUUAAUCUAGCUUCUUCCAUUAAUUGCCUCUUUCAUUUAAUAUUGUUAAUAAUGGCAUCAUAGAAUUCUUUCUUGGUAAUUUCUAAAAUUUCUUUCAAUAUAAACUCAACCUUAGCAUUAAGCACACGUUCUUCAAGCACCCCUUUUAAAUUUGUUGUUGCUUCAAUAUCAGAGAAUAGUUUAUAAGUUGUCAAUUUAUCUUUAUUUUUUAUUUCUUUUGCUUUUUCUUCCAAUAUUGUUGAAGUAUCCUUUGUGGGCAAUUCUUGUGAAGCUGAUGCACGAGCCUUAUCUCCUCGAAUUUGCCUUUUAGAAGAAUUUCCUUCUCUUUAAUCAUCAAAAUUUUCUCUCCUCUUUUCUUCCAUUAAAGCUUCAUGUUGGCUUUUAGCAAUAUAUGAAUGUACUAACAAAGCUUCUAUAGGAUCCUCCCAACCCAUAGCACCACAAAUUGUUGCAGAAAUUUUCAAUAAAGCUUCCUGUGGCAUCUUCUCUUUUUACAUUGUAGAAAUAGCAGAAAAUCAAAGUCCACUUGGUUGAACAUUUCCAACAAAAUUUUCUUUGCUAUCAUUAUCCAUCCUAGUUCUAUAACUUGCAGCUUCUAUUGUUGCAAUUCCAUGUGUUGCCAAAUAAUCUUUAACUAAUGCUUUCAUGUCUCCUUUACCAAAGUUGGUUUAGAAAAGAUCACUAGUAUCUUUCAAUGUAACAUUCCCAUCUUUCCAAUAAAUAAUGCCUUGUUGAAUCAUCUCAUCAAAUUCACCACAAUCUUUUUGAGAAUGAGAAUCAUCAUCACAUCAAAUACAUCUUUGUACAUAUCCUUAUUUAAAAGUAGCCUUUGAACUUACUAUAGAAGUCUUUUCUUCAAGCCUUGUAAGUUUGAUUUGAAGGUCUCGCAUCCCUCGUACAAUCUCUUCAAGUCCCAUAUCUUCUUUCUUUGGUGUAGCUAAUAGAGGUUGGACAAUAGGCAUAGUCAAUCUUGUAGUAGGCAUUGGGGUCUUUGGUACUUGUACCACUUUUUGAGUAUUAAACCUAUCAUUUUUUUUUUUUUUUUUUUACAAGUAAUUCAAUAGCAUCUUCAACAACUCUCCACUUUGUUGUCAAUCCUUCCUCUUCUUUCUUAUCUUCAAGAAGAACCUCUAACUUCUCUGGUAAUUUUUCAUUAGUAGCUUGAAGAAAUAAUUUAACUUUGUUUGAUCCCAAUAUUAAUUUUUCCAUUUUUGAUAAUCGAGAAAAUUACCUUUCAAAUUCUCUUAAUAAUUCUAUAGCUUGCAAAUUUUUGUUAGGUCGCUCAAUCCAUUCCAAGAAUGAUUUCUUAGUAACUCGAUCAGUAUCCUUCAAAAAAUACUCAUCUUUCAAUGCAUGUGAAAAUACCUCCCAUGAACUUCUAAAUUGCUCCAUAAUAGACCUUAUAUGCUUUCUUAUCUCUGAUAUUGAAGCAAGCUCAAAUAAUUGAAGCAUCUCCUUCUCAAAAAUGUGAUUCAAUUCCAUUUUCCGCACAUAACAUCUUAAAUAUUUGGAAAUAUCCCUCCCAUCAAAUUGGUCGACCUUGUUAACCACUGCUUGCAAUGCUUUGGUUGCCAAAGCCUCUUUACGAUCAUUGCAUUAUUACUGUUGCAUAAAUAAUGUAAAUGCUUGAAAUAUUUUUGCAUUAUUUGGGUCAAGGUACAUACGUUGUUCACCUGUAGAAAUUCCACUUGAAGUUGUACUUGAAGAUCCACUUGAAGCUCCUUCCAAAGCUCCAUCAAAAAGUCCAAAUUCAACCUUCUUGCCUUCUUGUGCCAUAAAUUCCAAAUAACCACAAAUAUAAUCAAAUAACUUCCACCCCAAACUUUCAUGUUGAGUUCACCACUUAUGUCGUAUUACGUGUUGUUUUGCUCAGGAAUGUAUCGGACACUUAGCUAUGGAAGGUGAGAUUAUGUUUCACAAGUAGCCAAGAAAUCUUAAUAGGUUUCAUCCAUGUGAAAAGAAUAUAAUCUGAAUUUCAAUUCAAAAGUGCUUAAACACUCUUUUUAGUAGUCUUAACCAUACAUAAAUCUCAAUUACCUUGUUACUUUCAUAUUUAAGCAAUUUAGAUUUUUCUUAUAAAUCCCAAUCCUAAUCAGUGAGCUUUAACAAGCUGUAACAUCCAAUACGACUGUCCACUUGAUGUGGAAUUUUUCAUGCAAUUGUCAAUGCAAAUCUUCUAAAUACUUUAGAAUUUUUAGUCCAAUCCAACUUAUAGAUUGUGUGAAAAUCUCCAAAAAUUGCACCAAUGUCACUCGGCUGCCAAUUUAAAAAGUGAAGUAGAAAUCCCAGCAAUGAUUUUUCCUUCUCCAACCAUUCACUUUGUCUCAAAAUUUUUUGUAGCUUGAUCUUUAAGUCCUCCAACACCAUGCCAAUUUUCACCUUAAUCCAACUAAUAGAUCUUCAGAUAUCAUAGAAAUCCUACCCAACCUCAAACUCCACCUUCUAAAAUCCUCUUGUGCUAAAAACUAAAUAUCUCUAAACCACGCUAUUAAAUUAUCACAAAAUUUUGUAUAUGCUUAGCACACCUAAUAAUCCAAACAAUAUCAAAAUUUUAACUGUAGAUGUCACGCCAAUUUUACAAACUAGCAAAAAUUACUAGCCCUAAUUAUAUUAUAUAAAACCCAAAUCACAAAUACAAACCCUGACUUUGAACAACAAUUGCUCAGUCUUUCAAAUUUCUUUCAAAAAAAUUCUUACGUCUUUGAAAAGAACUUCAAGCUAGCUCUCAAAAUCUAACCUCUAAUCUUUGAAUGAAACCCUAUUUUGUCCUAAGCUGUCAUUUUAGUGGCUAGAGGUCUGAUUUUGACCCUAUCUCACAAAUGGUCGACCCUCGGAUAUUAAUCUAUCCUAUCCUAAGGAUUUUUUAGCCCAAUCCUACUCUCAACUUAAUCUUAGUAUCAACUAUACUAAUUAUUUACCUCUUCUAACCUGAUUUCAUUAAUUUAUGGUCUUUCUAAGGUAGUAGAAGAGUCUCUAUAACCUAGAAGGUAAAAUUACUAACUAAGCUCCAACCUACUAAUUAUUAAGAUAAGAAAAUAACCUAAGAGGCUUUUAUAAAAGCCAUGUUUAGAUACUUCAAAUUAUAAUUAAACUAAGAUAAUUAGAUAUUAAUUAGAAAUUUAAUUUUGAUUAUAA
rnacentral:lncRNA from 1 species